AUUACUUGCAAUAUUUUCCCUUUUUCUUUCCAACUGAAAAGCCUUAAGUUUUACUGUUGAAAUCAAUAUUUUUUUGUGCAACAUUUAUUUAUUUGCUCUCAAUCAGAAAUGCUUUGCUUUAAAAUUUUGACACAAAUCUUUCCGAAUACAUACAAUUAAUUUUUUGAACCAAAUGACCGUCACGUGACUACCGAUUACAACAAACAAUCCUGCCAGCGGGGUCCUUUGUUAUGAUGAAACGGUUUCCUUCGCAAUCAAUCUGUACCUUUCACAUUUCUGACGUCGAGUUAAAUAAACAUCGUCAAUAGCUGAUAGAGCGGUAGACCAUUCUGUACAAAAUAGGGCUAUUGUAAUUUCAUUUCCCAAGUUGAACUUCAAGAUUGGAAAACAGUAACAGUUUGAUUUGGCAAGAUUAACUUUCUGGCUUGCAGGACACAAUGAACCGCUAUCAUCUAAACGAGUAUCCAAAGCGAAAAUUGAAGAAACAUAGGGAGGUUUCAUUUGGCGGAAAUUCUGUUGAACACUAAGGUAAUCCUGCAUCAGCUGUUCUAUUUUUAUUUUUUAAGUCGCUGCUACUACCUGUUGACGCUACUACCAGGAACACCACUUCUGCUAGUAGCUUGGCAACUAGGCCUACACUCCACAAUGAGACAGCAACGCCUGAGUGUGCUUUAGCCUACUUAUAGUCCCGUGGCUUCUGCUAGUUUGAAGUCGAGGAAGAAGACGUUCAAGGGUGACUGUAUGUGUUAAAGGAUAUGGGCAACUGCCAAAUAAAGCAAUAAGGAGACUCAGUUGGCCAUCCAAAAAGUAGCAACUGAAUCAACGAAUCAACCAGACAAAACUAAUCAACCCACUAAACUUCCAGCCAACAAGCAAGCAGCCAAAUCAAGGACCAAAUCAGGUCACCCCAGACGUGGUGGAACAUUCUGGAAAAGCUCUUGCACGUCCGGCAAGAGGAGUUGAACCGACAAGAUCUGGGCCCCUCUCUGAGUUCUGAGCCACCAGUAGGCACUCCCACCAAGUACUCAAGCUUCAGGAGUUACCCUAAGACCCCAGAACUACCAGAACAUUCUUGAAUGACACAUCUUUGAGACCGGUGCGCCUCGGCCUGGCUCUGCCGGAGAGAGAGGGAGGGCGUGACCUUCAGCCUCGCGGGGUCACGCUCGGCGCGGGGAAGACGGGCGCGUUCGAUUCGUGGAAAACACACACGGGCUACCGCAGACGCCGUGACGCACGGGGCGCCGAAAUACUACACCUGCUGUCUGGCGCGUUGACGCACACACACACACACACACACACAGACGCACGCACACAUACACACAGAGACACAUAUACACCAGAGCAAAGUCAAGCUGUCCAAAUAAGGGAGUGUUACUGGAACCAGAUAUCUGCUGCAGAUAGUCUGACUGCGACAAAAAAUGUGAGACCAAGACUGCUGAGAAAACAGACCACCUUCAGUUUUACCCUCCAUUAUGACCUCACUGCCACCAUGACAACAGGGCAGUGGAACAAGAGCCCCCGCCACUGAUCUGAGAUCAGCGCGGAAGCUACUCUUUUUCCGCUGUCCUCCUGGCUGAGGUUGCCCAGCCACUGAUCUGGGAACAGCAGGGAAGCACCCUGUCUCGUUCCUCCCUCCCGACACAGCCGGCCUCUGCAUUAUUAACAGGGGCUGAAAGACACACCGGGCCAGUUGAGCCGGGGCCAGUGGAAUGACACUGCAUCUGCUGAUGUCCCCAGUGCUUAAGCCUUCGCCCCUGGGGACCCCUAUAUCUCAAGCCUCUCAUUGUAAAUUUACUAUCUGCGAAGUGUCGGGGGGGGGGGGGGUGGUUGGGGGAUUGGGUAGAUGGGUAGGAGAUGUGACAGAAAUACAGGGGUUACCUUACAGCUGCCGCUUUGAGAGAGAGACCCCAGAGAGCAUCAUCCAGGACAAACAAGCAGUCAAUCAUUUAUACAGUGCACUGUAAACACUGUGCAUCCAUGAAAUGCGUUAUAGUUACAAACUACUCUAGAGCAUAUAGCUACCUAGCAUUAUGUGUACACAUAGACAAACAAAAAAUAUUAAAUUAUAAGUCCAUAUGUGUACACAUAGACUAUUCCGUACUUACUAUUUUGUGUUUGCUUUUCGUAUUACUUAUUUGUGUUGAUUUAGAUUUUUGAUCUUCAUUUAUGUUAAUUAGGAUUGUAACAGUUUUCAGUGUUAUUAUUUCUUGUUUUUAUUUAAUUUUUUAUACAUUUUUCCAUUUCCUCAGCACCAUUGAAGAACCCCGGUGCGCUGAAACGGCAGCUGUCUGCGGUAUCGGCGGCGGUUAGCUGGCCGUAGCGGUGACGCCCGGCGCGGUCGGUUUGGUCCCAUGAAUAAUGCACCUGGCUCGCCGACGGUUCACUUGCGGCAGACGGGCAGGAGGAUCGGUUUACACCGGCGACAGCCGCUCCCCGAGCUGCGUGCUGAAAUUACCGUCAUUACGGCUCGUCGCCGCGGCGCUGACCGUAACCACGUAACCACGCACUUAAUGCCACGAUGAGAAAUUUAUCUAAAUAAUUUUGGUCAAAUUCUGAAAAUUUUGUACGUAAUUUUAAAAUGAUGUUCUUUUCCAGACAGAAAGUUGCUAAAGUGUAGAACAGCUUGCCAAGAAGCAGAGGCCCUUGGGCUGCGUGAGAUUAGGCUCGACACCGUUCUGAACACUCUCUGCUCAACAGAAACGGAGACAAGCUGAGAUGAGCUGAACGGUUUGUUCUCCUCAGCAAAUAUUCAUGUCUGAAUGUUCAUUUUCCCUCAGGCAGUGUCCUCCUGCACCCAGGGCUCAUAGCUGAGAUUCUGUGGGGGGGGGAAACAGCUCUUUGGACGAGAGCGCUGUGAGUUUGUAUUCAAAGGGUCUGAGGGGCAUAGGGGGCGUGAUGGGGGCACGGGGGGGGGGGGGGGGUGUUGACACUGGUAUUGUGCCGCCGCUUUAAUCAGACCCUCGCCUCGCCACACAGACGAGCCAGUCCGCCGGACCGCUCCUUAUUGUGUUAUUAUUGGAUUAGGACAACGACCGCAAUUAAGUGACUGGAUUAUCAUCUCUCGCUCCUCCUUUUAAAUUAGUCUGGUGUGUGGUGUGGUGGUGGGGGGGGGGGUGUGCUGGUGCUUUGGGGGGGUUGGCUAACAGCUGCUGCGAGCGGGUGGAUGGGCCGUUGGCCAGGCAGACGCAAUAAAGGAAGAAUUCGAGUGCCAUCGAACCACGCUGGCACCGGUGUGGAGGGGGUGGCGGGUGAGGUGCUGGCACACGGACGCUCAGCUUGGCAGGACGUGGGACAGCUUUUAAGCUAGACGGGGGGGGGGGGGGUAAGGGGGCCCUGGGAUGGCUGUAAUUGGCGAUGAGUGACAGAGGCGCGUAUAGCCUCCCUUCGGGGUAAUCGUACCCGUCUCGAGGCCUGAAGAGGUCGCGGUUCUAAAGCCUGCAGAUUAAGGAAAGACAGCAGGGGCGUAGCUUAAAAGGCUGGAUGGGGGACAGAGGACGAGGCGGACGGAGGGGUCUGUCCGCCGCUGGUUCAAACCGGGGAGGCUUCUUAACCUUGAGCACAACCUCUGUGGAAAUCAGAGAUAGCAGUGGGCUCAUGGCAAGGAUUUAGCGGGAAAGGGUAGACGAAGGAGGGGUGGGACUUUGGGAAUUAGUCGGAGGAAAGGGGGAUGGAGGGAGGAGCAAAGAGAGAGGGAUGAACUGUAAUAAUGUAAAAGAGGCCCGGGGUGCCUCGCGAAUACACUGUGGGUCAUGGGCUCCACCAGCAUGGUGUGUUACACUGACAUUGUCAGCACUGACCACGGCCUGGCAGGUCGGCGCAGUGGGUGGGCUGCCCAGGUUGGGAGCGGUUCAGACAGCCUAAGUUCCAGCCUCUGCCUGCACUACCUGGACAUGGAGCAAAUUCCUCUGAACGACGGGUGCAUCGUUGGCGGACCAUGAAGUAAAAGAACAGAUCAGCUGCUUGGUGGAUCAUUUGGUGAAGGCUCCACGCUGCUGUGCAUGGAGGAGCUCCAUAGUCUCGGAUUGAAUCCAGACUGCACCUGUGCCAACUGUGUCCUGCACCUCCACAGGGCGACGUGCAUUUGCCCAGGGUACGAGAGGGUUCAGUCGGUUCGUGGUCCGUGUUUCAUUAUUCUCUAGGAAGCCCCACUGGUCAAACGGGCCCCCAUGGACUGCAUGCUAAAAAGCUGCAUAUGAAUGGUCUUCCUCCGACCCCACUCUAUGCAAGCUUAGCUGUAGUCAAAUCGACAGUGGGAUUUGCGCAUGAAUGCGACUGCGGUUGCUGACAAUUGGACUUUCCAAAUUAGGGUGUUAAUUGGACAUAUACAGCCCCACCAAAAUUACAUGUAAACUAAUACUACUAAUAAUAAUAAUAAUAUAAAGAACCAAUGACUGGUUUUUUGGCUGACAGCCUGCAAUAUUUCCGUCUGCUGCUCUCCCGGAUCAUGAGAUGAGACCAGCUCGGUGAUACAAUCAGGCAUCCCAAGUUGGGAGAAAAAGAAUGAACUGGGGACGAGAAAUUUUUAAAAGAAAUGGAGAGAGCAGUGAAAAGAGAGGUAGAGAAAAGACGGAUGCGGGUGGUGUGAGUGCCAAGCGGCGGAAAGAAACGGCUCCGGAUUUUUCUCGGAAAAAGUGGGAAUCUCAAACAGGAUUAUACUCCCGCAGAAACUUCAUGGUACUGAGUGAGGGAUUAGUGGGUGGGGAGACUGAGAGAGAGCGAGAAGAGCAAGAGGUGAGGUGAAGGGGGGAAGGAGGAUGGGAAGAGAAGAAAGAGAAGGGUGCAUACAGAGAGAGAGGGAAAGAGCCUGCCCCUUUCCCACCCCCACCCCCAGGGGAAAAAAACUGAAUCCAGAGAGAACUGGUCAGAGAAAAGAACAGCUGCAGCAUCCCAGUGAUAGACAGGGAUCGGGAAGUAGAUAGAGGAUAGAGGGAGAGAAGGAUGAGAGGGGAGAGAACAAGAGGAAGGAGGAACGAGUGACUGACAGUACGAAAAGAGGAAGAAAUGGGAAAAUGAGACAACAAAAAUGAUGAUAUAGAGAAAGGGAAAUAGGGAGCUUUACUGAAAGAGAGGGAUGGAGAAGGAGAGAGAGGGGGGAGAGUAACAGAAAGAGAGAGAGGGGGAAAGAGAGAGAGAGGCUUAGAGGGAGGGAGGCAGCUUGCUUGUGCUGCGGCAAUUACGUUGGCUAAUGCAGUGGAGAACUGGCUGUGAUGUCACCCUCUGCAGAACAACAAGGUCACUUGAACCCCCAAAGGCAGAGUCCCUCCGCCUCCUCACACCCCCCCACCCCCACCCCCACCCUACUCCCACUCCACCACUCUCCUCAGUCCUGCGGAGAGACCUCGGUUUUGGGCUUAAAUGAACCAACCACUUUUAAACCACUGUAUAAUUCAAAACAUGGGAGCCUAGCCACUCACCGACAGAGCGCAUGACCCUUUGCUGUGUGUUGUGCAGGGAGAUCAGCUGUAUCCAAUUUGGGGGGGGUGGGGAUCAAACCUUAUCUCGAUUUCUUUAUGAGGUAAUUCGAUCUGUAGGUUCACCCUCCAAGCGCAGUGCCGGGCAGGGUACUUAAUGAGGAGUGCCCGGCACGGGGGCAGCGGAAUCUCCUGGUACUGAACUAACAGCCUUCCGGGAAUGGGACCCGCCACUUCGCUUGAACCACAGAGCCACAGAUCCUUCUCCAAACAAGGCCUUGCUGCGGUGCGCAGUAACAGAACAAGACCCAGACAGCAAUUAAGCGGAGAUGGAAGUUUAACUGGUUGUUAAAUGAGAAAUCCCCCCCCCCACCCCAGAUGCAAGCUAACAUGCUUUCGAUGUGCUUUCAGAAAGGCCCUUCAUCCUUGACGAACAGCUGCUGAUGCAGUACUGUCACAUGCACCUAAACCCCACCCCCCCACCACCCUCAUGGAUGUUACUGGAUUUGAAGAGUCAGAAACUUGCAUAAAAUGUGAAAAACCCUCCAUCUAAACAACCUUGAAGUGUGUUUACGCGUGCAGCUCCCUUCAGCAGCCCGUCUGGGCGAGAACAGCGUUUGAUCCCCUGCAAUGAAGGGACGCUUUACUUCAUAAUCCGCAGCUUGCCGCAAAACGCACUUCUGGGAAACAGAAAACUUUUCGGGCUUUACGCUGCCAGAUUUUUCCCACACUGGAGGAAAUAAAAACACAGGACUCGGUGCAAAACUUUCCUUGUUGAGUUGUACUGGUACUUCCAGGAAGGAAACAAGCUGAGUUUGAGUGCCAGACAUGUGCGGAGCAGCAUGUCCACAGGUUAAAUCAGGCCAGACCCAGGCUUGCAUCAUCACAACAGUAUACCAAAGGCAGACACGAGAAAGAGGAGGUUUGACAGCAGAAACCCCGAUGCACUGUGUGGACUUUCACCUUUCUUUUAAAUAAUCAAUGGGCCUCAUUCACAAAAUAUGCGUACGAUCACAUUUGAUCGUAAACUGUAUGUAAGAACGUUUCCACGAACAUUUUGGCAUUCAGUCAUUUUUUUCUCAUCUAUACUUGUUCUGUACUUGGCUGUUUCAUUAUGCUAAUCACAUGAACAGGAUUCCAGAACAAAAAGAGUCUACCUUAACAAGUGUUGGUCUCUAAUAUUGUUAUCUCAAGUAGAAAAUAUGUGUGGCCAAGCCUGCACUAUGGGACUCGACCUGCGCUGUGAGGCUCGACCUGCGCUGUGGGGCUCGCCCUGCACUGUGGGGCCCAGCCUGUGCUGUGGGGCUCGCCCUGCACUGUGGGGCCCAGCCUGUGCUGUGGGGCCCAGCCUGUGCUGUGGGGCUCAGCCUGCGCUGUGGGGCCCAGCCUGUGCUAUGGGGCCCAUCGUGUGCUGUGGGGCUCAGCCUGCUCUAUGGGGCCCAGCCUGUGCUAUGGGGCCCAGCGUGUGCUGUGGGGCUCAGCCUGCUCUGUGGGGCCCAGCGUGUGCUGUGGGGCUCAGCCUGCUCUGUGGGAUGGGUGAGGGGGGGGGGUACUGGAUUGGGGCUGUGUGGUAGGAAGAUAGAUGUUUGAGGAGGUGGUGAUUUGGGGGUGUGUAGUGGGCAGGUGGGGGGAAGGGUUUGGAUCGGGGGUCCGGUUUCAGCAGCUGAGUCGGGCUCUGCUGUCGGGUGAAACCCCAAACCUGGCACGUGCCCCGUCCUCUGGCAUGACCCCCCAGGAGAGGCGAGGUUGGGGGGGCGAAGGGAGGAGCGUUGGCGAAAUCAUUUGGAAACCCAAUAAAGCCAACAGCUGUUAAGAGUCAUAGAACUCCCUCACCCCUCCACCAGGAGUUAAAGUGCUUAAUGGUUUAUUGGGUGGCCUGCGUCAGUGUUUACAGACAUGCUUAUGUGUCAAACUUUGCAUGGCUUAGGAGCGAUACUGCAAAAAAAGUCUGUCUUAACAAGUGUUGGUCUCUAAUGUCAUUCUGUCAAGUAGAAAAUACCUGCUUGUUUUAACUUGACAAGUGAAAUUUUCUUACCCUACUGACAAAUCCUGAAAUGCGUCAAACUGUCACACCUCAUUGGCGAUCCUUUUGCCUUAUUUAGCAAAAAAUUUUGGCUUAUUUUUUGGCGAGUUGCAGUGGACAACCAUGAGCUGUCAAACGGGCUUUGCCACCACCGGAUGGGCCCCCGGCACGCCUGCAGCGCUCCAGCACGUUCACUUCGCACGUGCGCUCGCUCAGAGUGCCUGCUUCUGCUGAACGGGGCGCACGGAUUCCCUUCCAGCAUCUCAGCGUGGGGGAGCUGUCCGCGGUUAUGAUUGAUGUUUACUCACGAAAUACUCGCCCUGAUAUUUUUGGUAAACACCGAUGCGUUUGGAUGGUGUGUCGUUUAAAACAGCAGCGACAAAUGGUAUGUUCCUCUAUAAACCAGUGCGUUACACCGUGCAUAAUUUCAAAUGGCCGCGACAAACGGUAUGUUCCUCUAUAAACUAUUAAA